rnacentral:rRNA from 1 species
UACGUAGGGUGCAAGCGUUGUCCGGAAUUAUUGGGCGUAAAGAGCUCGUAGGCGGCUUGUCGCGUCGACUGUGAAAACCCGUGGCUCAACUGCGGGCCUGCAGUCGAUACGGGCAGGCUAGAGUUCGGUAGGGGAGACUGGAAUUCCUGGUGUAGCGGUGAAAUGCGCAGAUAUCAGGAGGAACACCGGUGGCGAAGGCGGGUCUCUGGACAGU